GUAACUCUGUCCCUCAAAUGUCUUAUAGAAGGCCAGCUGCCGCCUUUGUUGUGUUGUGUUUUGUGUCUAUGAAGGUUUCAUCAAUACCUGUGGAGGCCACAAGGUGGCAUCAGAUCCCCUGGAAUUGGAGUCAUGUAUGUUUUCUGAGCCGUCAUAUGGGUAGGGUAACCAGAUGUGGGCCCUCUGUGAGAGCAGCCAGUGAUGCUACCCACUGAGUCACCUCUCUGCUCCCCAUAUGAUGUUUUAAUAAUAAUUUUUUCUAUUGUUAUCUAAAGAUCAGUUGACCAGAUUGUUAGUAUAUUUGAAGACCCUGUGUGCUCACCGUUGUCUUGAUACUCUUCACGUCUUAGCACUGUCCUGAUGGGUCUCCUUCCAGCUCCUUUGCAGUUUUAGGCUGGCACUGUGGACCUGAACAUGGUGUGCGUGGCAUUGGGGCAUCUAUGCCCCCACUACCUGCUAUUACGAAGCCCUAGGUGUCCUGGAUUUUCCCCUGUAGACCAGGCUGUCUUCAAACUCAAGAGCUCCAUCUGCCUCUCUGCGCCUCUGCCUCUCUAUGCCUCUGCCCCUGCCCCUGCCUCUGCCUCUGCCCCUGCCCCUGCCCCUGCCCCUGCCCCUGGCCCCUGCCCCUCCCCCUGCCCCUGGCCCCUGCCCCUCCCCCUGGCCCUGCCCCUGCCCCUCCCCCUGCCCCUGCCCCUGCCCCUGCCCCUGCCCCUGCCCCUGGCCCUGCCCCUGCCCCUGGCCCUGCCCCUGGCCCUGCCCCUGCCCCUGGCCCUGCCCCUGCCCCUGCCUCCCAAGUGCUGGGACUAAAGGCAUGCACCACCACUUCCAACCUGCAUUUUCGUUCAUGUUAUUGGACUAGCAGGUUAAGUGGCUCUCUGCUUGUGUCUGUUGGAGCAAGUUGUGUUCUGUGUAGUGGACGUUGUGCCGAGGAGCUAGGGUCUGUGGCAUCUCACCUGCAGAUCCGCGGAGCGCUUUGCAUGUGGACUCCAGUGGCUGCUUUUUCUUCUCCUUCCACCUUCUGGUCAUAAAGAGACAGACUUUGACGUGGUUAUAGAAGGAUUGUACAACAGCAGGUCAUCACUUGUUGUACGCUCUGCCCUGUGGCUUUCAAAAAUAACUUGUUUCUGAACCUGAGUUUCCUCAUUUUCACGAGCAGCUUAUGGGUUACUUGAUAUUUUCAACCCUUUGGCAUUAACACUUUACCACUAAAAAUGUGGUUAUCUAGUCAGCAUUUUCUCAGUCCCAUCUACACUCCGGCUGAUGUUCCUUUAAGGGAGGGAUAUUCCACAGCAGUAUCUGCUUUCUCACUGUUACUGUCUUAGCUUCUUUCUCUGUUGCUGUAAUAAAAUUCCCUGACAAGAGUCUUAAGGAGGAAAUGGUUUACCUUGGCUUACUGAUGCACAUUAUAUGAGGGGGCCACAGUAAAAAGCAGAGAGCAACGAAUGCCAGCUCAGAGCUCUGUCUCCACUGAAUGCCUUUCAGGAUCUCACCCACGAAAUGUUCCUGUCUUCCCCAUAUCAAGUAAGGCGGUCUGGAUAAUCUCUCACAGAUGCUCUCAGAUGCUGACCAUAAACUAAUCCCUCAUAGGGAAGCCUGGAGUCUUGCCUCAUAGGUGAUGCUAGACUGUCAAGUUGAUGUGUAACUGUCACCUAGUCUUAGGUCCCCAGGAAUGCCCACUUUUCUUACAUUUAGUUAUUUAACUUCCUAAACAUUGGACUCAUUGGUAUUCCAUGCUUUCUUAUUAUAAUGCAUGUCUCCAUACAUUACCUUCUAAGUAUCCUGUGAUGUGCCUUCUCUAAUGCUUGGUAGGACAUGAGGGCCCCUAAAUGCCUACUCUUCAAGGACAAAUGCUUAUGUGUACAGAAUAUUUACAGCUUCAUUUCAGUCCGGUUUCUUAAUGUUUUCAAACACACAGCCAUCUGAUUUCAGAAUGAAUAAAAAUAACUGCCAGAGAGGAGGGUGCUGUUGCUCUGGCACAGCCUGCAGCCUGCCCCACCAGCCACCCACCCUAGACUCACUGAAUCGGUUGUCACAGCCUUCUCUCAAAAGUGUGUGUUGAGGGGUUGGGGAUUUAGCUCAGUGGUAGAGCGCUUGCCUAGCAAGCUCAAGGCCCUGGGUUCGGUCCCCAGCUCCAAAAAAAAAAAAAAAAAAAAAAAAAAAAAAGUGUGUGUUGCCACAGAAG